AUGUAGAAGCUGAGGUCGUUGUGUUUCUCUCCAUCAGUAUGCCUGUGAUGUAGAAGCUGAGGUGGUUGUGUUUCUCUCCAUCAGUAUGCCUGUGAUGUAGAAGCUGAGGUCGUUGUGUUUCUCUCCAUCAGUAUGCCUGUGAUGUAGAAGCUGAGGUGGUUGUGUUUCUCCAUCAGUAUGCCUGUGAUGUAGAAGCUGAGGUCGUUGUGUUUCUCCAUCAGUAUGCCUGUGAUGUAGAAGCUGAGGUGGUUGUGUUUCUCUCCAUCAGUAUGCCUGUGAUGUAGAAGCUGAGGUCGUUGUGUUUCUCUCCAUCAGUAUGCCUGUGAUGUAGAAGCUGAGGUCGUUGUGUUUCUCUCCAUCAGUAUGCCUGUGAUGUAGAAGCUGAGGUCGUUGUGUUUCUCUCCAUCAGUAUGCCUGUGAUGUAGAAGCUGAGGUCGUUGUGUUUCUCUCCAUCAGUAUGCCUGUGAUGUAGAAGCUGAGGUGGUUGUGUUUCUCCAUCAGUAUGCCUGUGAUGUAGAAGCUGAGGUGGUUGUGUUUCUCUCCAUCAGUAUGCCUGUGAUGUAGAAGCUGAGGUCGUUGUGUUUCUCUCCAUCAGUAUGCCUGUGAUGUAGAAGCUGAGGUCGUUGUGUUUCUCCAUCAGUAUGCCUGUGAUGUAGAAGCUGAGGUGGUUGUGUUUCUCUCCAUCAGUAUGCCUGUGAUGUAGAAGCUGAGGUGGUUGUGUUUCUCUCCAUCAGUAUGCCUGUGAUGUAGAAGCUGAGGUCGUUGUGUUUCUCUCCAUCAGUAGGCCUGUGAUGUAGAAGCUGAGGUCGUUGUGUUUCUCCAUCAGUAUGCCUGUGAUGUAGAAGCUGAGGUGGUUGUGUUUCUCCAUCAGUAUGCCUGUGAUGUAGAAGCUGAGGUGGUUGUGUUUCUCUCCAUCAGUAUGCCUGUGAUGUAGAAGCUGAGGUCGUUGUGUUUCUCUCCAUCAGUAUGCCUGUGAUGUAGAAGCUGAGGUCGUUGUGUUUCUCUCCAUCAGUAUGCCUGUGAUGUAGAAGCUGAGGUCGUUGUGUUUCUCUCCAUCAGUAUGCCUGUGAUGUAGAAGCUGAGGUCGUUGUGUUUCUCUCCAUCAGUAUGCCUGUGAUGUAGAAGCUGAGGUGGUUGUGUUUCUCCAUCAGUAUGCCUGUGAUGUAGAAGCUGAGGUGGUUGUGUUUCUCCAUCAGUAUGCCUGUGAUGUAGAAGCUGAGGUGGUUGUGUUUCUCUCCAUCAGUAUGCCUGUGAUGUAGAAGCUGAGGUGGUUGUGUUUCUCUCCAUCAGUAUGCCUGUGAUGUAGAAGCUGAGGUGGUUGUGUUUCUCUCCAUCAGUAUGCCUGUGAUGUAGAAGCUGAGGUCGUUGUGUUUCUCUCCAUCAGUAGGCCUGUGAUGUAGAAGCUGAGGUGGUUGUGUUUCUCUCCAUCAGUAUGCCUGUGAUGUAGAAGCUGAGGUGGUUGUGUUUCUCUCCAUCAGUAUGCCUGUGAUGUAGAAGCUGAGGUGGUUGUGUUUCUCCAUCAGUAUGCCUGUGAUGUAGAAGCUGAGGUCGUUGUGUUUCUCUCCAUCAGUAUGCCUGUGAUGUAGAAGCUGAGGUGGUUGUGUUUCUCUCCAUCAGUAUGCCUGUGAUGUAGAAGCUGAGGUCAUUGGGAAGCCAGACCCCAUGUUCUUUCAGAAAGUUCUGGAUGACAUGGGGAUUCAGUCACACCAGACUCUGAUGAUUGGAGACGAUCUGGUGAAUGAUGUGGGCGGGGCCCAACACUGUGGAAUGAAGGGUGUCCAAGUGAGGACAGGAAAAUACAGGCCCAGUGAUGAGAAGCACCCCACAGUAACAGCUGAUGGCUAUGUGGACAACCUUGCGGAGGCUGUGGAAACCAUCCUGAAGCUCCGGGGCCAGUGAGGAGAGGACCAGGAAGAACCACCUUCACCACCACAAUACACCACACACACAGUGAUUACUCUAGUACGAUCUGACAACAGGGAGUAACCCACUAACAUAGAGAGCCAUGGAGAGAUAGAGCCAAGAUGGAGGAGAUAGAAGAACACAGUCUUAGAGGAGAUAGAGCCAUGUUGGAGCCAAGAUGGAGGAGAUAGAAGAACACAGUCUUACAGGAGAUAGAGCCAUGUUGGAGCCAAGAUGGAGGAGAUAGAAGAACACAGUCUAAGAGGAGGUAGAGCCAUGUUGGAGCCAAGAUGGAGGAGAUAGAAGAACACAGUAUUAGAGGAGAUAGAGCCAUGUUGGAGCCAAGAUGGAGGAGAUAGAAGUUAAUAAGCUCAUGGUCAGAAGGCAGCUAGUUAGGUAAGUUAAUAACCUCAUGGUCAGAGGGCAGCUAGUUAGGUAAGUUAAUAACCUCAUGGUCAGAGGGCAGCUAGUUAGGUAAGUUAAUAACCUCUUGUUCAGAGGGCAGCUAGUUAGGUAAGUUAAUAACCUCAUGGUCAGAGGGCAGCUAGUUAGGUAAGUUAAUAACCUCUUGGUCAGAGGGCAGCUAGUUAGGUAAGUUAAUAACCUCAUGGUCAGAGGGCAGCUAGUUAGGUAAGUUAAUAACCUCAUGGUCAGAGGGCAACUAGUUAGGUAAGUUAAUAACCUCUUGGUCAGAGGGCAACUAGUUAGGUAAGUUAAUAACCUCUUGUUCAGAGGGCAGCUAGUUAGGUAAGUUAAUAACCUCAUGGUCAGAGGGCAACUAGUUAGGUAAGUUAAUGACCUCAUGGUCAGAGGGCAACUAGUUAGGUAAGUUUAUGACCUCAUGGUCAGAGGGCAACUAGUUAGGUAAGUUAAUGACCUCAUGGUCAGAGGGCAACUAGUUAGGUAAGUUAAUGACCUCAUGGUCAGAGG